UGUGCUCUUGGGAUACUCGACAGAUGUUUUUUGGAGCUGGCACUAGACUCUUCGUGGAGCCACGAAGCCAGCUUCCUGCCAAACCAUCCGUUUUCACCAUGAGAAAUGGGACAGCUGUUGCUUGCCUGGUGAAGGAUUUCUACCCUAAGGCUAUAAACAUAAAACUUGAAUCAUCCAAGAAACUAGAAGAGUAUGACACUGCAAUUGCCAUCUCUCCCAGUGGGAAGUACAGUGCUGUCAAGCUUGGUCGGUAUGCAGAUCCAAAUUCAGUGACCUGUUCAGUUGAACACAACAAUGAAAUUGUGCACUCCACUGACUUUGAGCCAAAGAAAAAGUCUUCAGGUAAUACAAAACCAACAGAACCAGCAAACGUGGAGCAAAUGUCAGAGAGCUUCUAUGCGCCCAAAGUUCAUCACAGUUCCGAGUUCACAACUGGAACAGUGAACAUGCUGUCCCUCACAGUGUUGGGGCUCCGGAUGGUGUUUGUCAAGAGUCUUGCCAUCAAUUUUGUCUUGACUGCCAAGUUAUUUUUCUUUUAAGGCUGACUGGUAUGCAAAGGCUUGAUUAUGGGACUCUUGCGUUAUGUCUUCACCAAAGCCUACAGAGGACCUGGCUCCUAGGCUUCUGACUUCUUGGUGAUUCAAGUUGACCUGUCCCAGCCUUGCUUGAAUGACUG